rnacentral:lncRNA from 1 species
GUGGAACCCCGUCUCUACUAAAAAUACAAAAAGUUAGCCAGGCACGGUGGCAUGUGCCUGUAAUCCUAGCUACUCAGGAGGCUGAGGUAGAAGAAUCCCUUGAACCCAGGAGAUGGAGACUGCAGUGAGCCGAGAUUGCACCACUGCACUCUAGCCUGGGUGAUAGAGCAAGACUCCAUCUCUUAAAAAAAAAAAAGAAAAAAAAAAAGGCUGGGCCCAGUAGCUUACGCCAGUAAUCCCAAUGUUUUGGGAGGCCGAGGCAGGCAGAUCACAAGGUCAGGAGUUCAAGACCUGCCUGGCCAACAUGGUGAAAGCCCCAUCUCUACUAAAAAUUUAAAAAAUUAGCUGGGCAUGGUGGCAGGCACCUGCAAUCCCAGCUACUCAGGAGGCUGAGGCCGGAGAAUCCCUUGAACCCAGGGGGCAGAGGUUGCAGUGAGCUGAGACCAUGC